CAAGAUUCCGGGCCUACGGGCGCAGCAGGCGCGAACCUUUACACUGCACGCCAGUGCGAUAAGGGAUCCCAAGUGCGUAGGCAUAGAGCUACGCUUUUGUCCACCUAGGGUGUGACGAAUAAGGGCUGGCAAGACCGGUGCCAGCCGCCGCGGUAAUACCGGCAGCCCAAGUGAUGGCCGAUCUUAUUGGGCCUAAAGCGUCCGUAGCUGGCCGCACAAGUCCAUCGGGAAAUCCACCUGCUCAACAGGUGGGCGUCCGGUGGAAACUGUGUGGCUUGGGACCGGAAGGCGCGACGGGUACGUCCGGGGUAGGAGUGAAAUCCUGUAAUCCUGGACGGACCGCCGAUGGCGAAAGCACGUCGCGAAAACGGAUCCGACAGUGAGGGACGAAAGCUAGGGUCUCGAACCGGAUUAGAUACCCGGGUAGUCCUAGCCGUAAACACUGCCUGCUAGGUGUGGCACCCACUACGAGUGGGUGCUGUGCCGUAGGGAAGCCGCUAAGCAGGCCGCCUGGGAAGUACGUCCGCAAGGAUGAAACUUAAAGGAAUUGGCGGGGGAGCACUACAACCGGAGGAGCCUGCGGUUUAAUUGGACUCAACGCCGGACAUCUCACCAGCAUCGACUGUAAUAAUGACGACCAGGUUGAUGACCUUGUCCGAGUUUCAGAGAGGAGGUGCAUGGCCGCCGUCAGCUCGUACCGUGAGGCGUCCUGUUAAGUCAGGCAACGAGCGAGACCCGCAUCGAUACUUGCCAGCAACGCUGUGAAGCGGUUGGGGACAGUAUCGAGACUGCCGUGGCCAACACGGAGGAAGGAACGGGCAACGGUAGGUCAGUAUGCCCCGAAUGUGCUGGGCAACACGCGGGCUACAAUGGUCGAGACAAAGGGUUCCAACUCCGAAAGGAGACGGUAAUCUCAGAAACUCGAUCGUAGUUCGGAUUGUGGGCUGCAACUCGCCCACAUGAAGCUGGAUUCGGUAGUAAUCGCGUGUCACAAGCGCGCGGUGAAUACGUCCCUGCUCCUUGCACACACCGCCCGUCAAAGCACCCGAGUGAGGUCCGGAUGAGGCGCGUCCACGCGUCGAA
rnacentral:rRNA from 1 species